rnacentral:rRNA from 1 species
GAUGAACGCUGGCGGCGUGCCUAAUACAUGCAAGUCGAGCGAACGGACGAGAAGCUUGCUUCUCUGAUGUUAGCGGCGGACGUGUGAGUAACACGUGGAUAACCUACCUAUAAGACUGGUAUAACUUCGGGAAACCGGAGCUAAUACCGUAUAAUAUUUUGAACCGCAUGGUUCAAAAGUGUAAGACGGUCUGGCUGUCACUUAUUGAUGGAUCCACUCUGCAUUAGCUAGUUGGUAAGGUAACGGCUUACCAAGGCAACGAUGCAUAGCCGACCUGAGAGGGUGAUGGAGUACACUGGAACUGAAACACGGUCCAGACGACUACGGAAGGCAGCAGUAGGGGAUCUUCCGCAAUGGGCGAAGGCUUGAUACAGCAACGCCGCGUGAGUGAUGAAAGUCAGCGGAUCUUAAAACUCUGUUAUUAGGGAAAAACAUAUGUGUAAGUAACAGUGCACAUCUUGACGGUACCUAAACAGAAAGCCACGGCUAACUACGUG